UCUGUUUCUAUUGAGUUUGAUAUGCUAUGCAAAGUUGUUAUCUACUUCAUGAAGAGGCUUCAGAUCAGCCCACCCUAUGCCCACACAGAACGCGAGUGAAGAGUAUAAGGACAUACAUAGCCUUCGGUGUCCAGCCUGGACUUGAGGAUAAAGUUACCAAUGUGCAAGUGAUGAUCUCCCAACUGAUUUGUUGCUCAGAGAUAACUACAACUUCAGUACCUAUACCAGGAUGUCAAUCAUUAAUUCCAAAGGUGUUACUCAAAAGGGCUUAUGAGUCUGCCUAAACUCUCCAGAUGCCUCCCUUCUGGCUGAAAAAUCUCUUGAGCGACUGUAGCUCUGCUCUGGGUGUGCCUAGGGCUGAAAGGCAAAUAGGUUGGAACCCAACUCUCAUCUAAGUGCCUCCAGGAUCUGGAAAUAAAGCCUGAUCCAAAGCACAUAGAUUUAUAACAUCUAACACACGUGAGACUGGGCCACAUGCUGAAAGGGUAUAAAAAUCUUCUCAGAGUUUUGGCCUGGCAAUCAAAAGUUUUUAGUCCAAACUGAACACUAUACUCUUCUCUGCUUGAAAACAGUUGAACGUGCUUAUCCCAGGACUGCACACCUGUGGCCUGGUUGUGCUCUAGAAGAGGAGCAAUUCUUUCUCUCUCCUGCCGAAGCUACAAAUGAUGCACCGGACUAACAACAGUGCAAGCCAGAGGAACCUUGACAUCAUCUCUGGUCUGUCCCCCCACACCUUCAUGCUACUAUCCAGUAGCUGAAACACUACACAACUGUCACUUCAGGAUGCAGAUAGCAGAUUAUUUUUCAGUAGACUGACUGUUAAAAUCCAGGUUGGCAAAAAGUCUUAUUUCCCAUAGCAGUGUAUUUGAACAGUCUUGCAUGUGAUACAAACAGCGAAUUUCACAAGAAGGGUAAUCACAUUUCUUCCAUUUCACCCCACCUUAUUCAAAGCAGACCUACUUCCACGUAUCACAACUUUGAAAUAAUCUGGCAGAACUCAUAUUUCUGCACUGCUCCAACAGCCCUGCUCAGUGACAUACAUCAUGAAUGAAACAGAAAAUGGUUGUGGCUCAGCACAUUUGAAAAGCCUUCGGCACCUGUGAUUUUCUUUCCUUUGAACAUAACCAGAGUCCAUUUUCCAUGCUGGUUUAUUCUUUGGUCUCCCCACUGAGUCUGCUCUAAGGAAGAUUCACAGGGAUUAUUAGUGUUUGGCAACAGGGAAAAAGGACUUGGAGAGUGGAAGAAGAGUAGAAUAAGUUCCUCAGUUUAUAUCAAAUUUUCUACUUCUUCAGAGAAAAUUUUCAACUGCUUUGAAUUUUAUUGAAAUCUUGAUUAUAAUGAGGGAUACGUCCUCAUUCUUUUGAUCUAAUGUGGCCUAAAGCAAAUUUAAAUAUUAAGGAUACCUAGGGACAAAGUAGGGAUUUCCACUGUUUUUUCUGCCCUUCACAUUCAAACUUUAUUACCAUUCUAAAACAUGAUAUAAGCAGUUGUCCCACUUUCAUUCUAACUGGUACAGAAUAUGUUUCCUGUUUUUCUAGCAAUCAGAUAUAUGAAAGACCAUCAGUAAGGCUCAUAUUCUACUGUCACUAUACUGAACUGUAUUUUUUGUUAUAAGCUCAUUUAGAUCAUAGAUAAACUCCAAUGGAAACGAGGUGCAUUUUUACCACAGUCAUCUUAACAGAAAGCACUUUGCUCACUCGUCCAUCUUCAGAGUCCUCUCUUUGCCUGACUGCUCACCGCUGGGACAAGUGCUACUGCAGGAAGCUCCAAACAGACUGUGGCCUUCAAGAGAGGUGUUGAAGGCACAACAGGCCCAUAACAUCCAUGUGACUGGACUCUUAACUUCUACUAUUCCUCUGAAAGGCAUCUCACCUGCCAUGAAUAAAUGAGUUUAUUAAAUUAAAAAUAAAAAAAAAAAGAGGGAAAAGUCUUAAAAUCCUGUUUAACACAUUGCUUUGUUACUGAGGACAGUAGAGAGACACUGAUUAUUUCUCACAUUAGAAAUAAAAAUAGGAGCUAUGAUUAGGUAGGGAAUUUGUGUUUCUUUAAAGAUAAGGAUUAAGACUAAAAUAGAUUCUCUUUCUCCUCAUGACUGUUGCAUCAUGAGGAUCUAGAUAAUGUAGUUUAGUCCCACACUACAGUUUCAAAUAUUAAUGCUUUCUCUCAAAGCAAUAGGAACUAGUCCAGAAAUGAAAGCCUACUGUCUGUUCUGUCUGUAUCAGGCCCACAAAUGUCCUUUAAAAUUGGCACAUGAUUAUAAUUAUUUCCAUAUGUUUCCCAAGCUACCAAGGGUGUGCUGUCAAAAUUCCAUACACCUACCUGACUUCUUAAUAUAUAAAAGCUUUAUAUAUUUUCCUGUUUCGGAACAGCAUCUAAUAUAUUGCUAAACACUCAGUCAAGCUUCACUUUGUCUUGAAUUUGAAUUCAAUUGUCAAUGUAUUUUGAAAUGUAUUACAAUAUUAGCACUGAGCAGGAUCAGACAUUAUUUCUCUCUUAAUCUGGGUGAUACUUUGUCAUUAACUUUUGUGUUGAUGCACUGACUUUAGUUAAUGCACUAUUGAUGUUCAUUUGCUUGCAAUCAUGCCCUGUAUUGGUUUGAUUAGAUCUACUGUAUAGCUGUUUGAUGACAAAACCCAGUUGGUUAGAUGUGGUCUGCUUCUCAUUUCCAGUCAAGCUUUCUGUCUUGAGACAUGAAUAGUUUCAUUGAUUAGGUGAACUAAACACGUUGACAAGCAUUCAAGCUAGUCCGGUUCAGGCAUAAUAGUCCCAGUAUUAUGGAUUCAUUCUCUGUAGUCAAUGAAAAUUUGGUUAUUCAUUUAAAUGAAAGCAGAAUCAAAACCUAUUGGUGUUCCUUUUAUUUGAUUAUGCUCCCAGAAUAUAACCAGUACAAUUUCCUCCUACUUUUAGAGGCUGUAAUGCUUCGCAAGGAAAGACACCAAUUAUUAUUCCAGAUGUUAAAAUCCCUCCUGCCCUGAUAAAGAAAUCCAAAUAACAAGAACAAAACAUGACUAGCUAAAAUCUGGAGCUUUAAAAAAAUUUCUGGAUGUAAGUCAAAAUAGUAAGAAUUUACACUGAGUCUUCUAUAAAGGAUGCAGUUGUUUGUUUAACAACACAUCAACUGUGCUGAAUACUUGAAAAAACUGAAGUCAAAUCUUCAGGACGUUUCAUUGCUGUGUUGACACUGCUGAGCACUUGUCUUAUCUUGCACUCCUUAGUAACCAAUAUCUUUCCCCCUCCUGCCCUGUCCUGUCAUGUUCUGGAAAUGCAUUUUCAAAUUGUUUCACCAAAUUAGGGCUAUAGAGCAUUUUUGGAUGCUACCCUUAGUCCCAAGAUCAAAAUCAAUGGAAGAGGCCUCCCAUCCGUCUUGUGACUGGAAAUGGGCAUUUUUCCCCGCUAAGAGCACUCUAAUCCAUUAACCUGCUUUAAUGCAACACAAGCCAGUAGUAUGUUAGAUGUGGCAGAACCUGUACCAGCACUGGACGUUCCUCGCAGGGAGCAGCAAGAGCAGGUCCACUCCCUGAAGGAGGACAAGCCAGGACCUGUGGGUGAAGACAGCCCAGUGGCCUCCCCCCUGCAGGACCAGGACAACAGCAAGCUCUGCUGACAGUCCAGGGAUGAUCAGACAAAGCGAAAUACUGAAUCAGGUACAGAGUCCAUCCAGAAAGUCCAGUCAGAAAGAGAAGAUGGGACUAGAGACAAGGCUACCCAUAACACAGGUUUCAAGGUCCUCCCAGGAGGCGAGGCUGGAGACAGGAGCUGCCCAGGCCUGAGCUGAAAUGCUGCCCCAGAUCCAUGGCCAGUUGGUGCAGGACUGAGGCUGGUUGGGGCAAUUAGGGCCUUUUAGUGCCCUCAGGACCCUGGCAGCUCCACAGAGGAAAAUGUAUACAGAAAUGGGGGUGGGGGGGGGAAUGAAGUACUAUCUGGGAAAGAAGUUUCAGAGAAUCAAGAUUUCUACAAGCAAGAAUGAAGUAAUUGUUAGCAAUUCCACUUCAUUACUAUAAGCAAAGUCUGAGCAUCAUCCAUCCUGUUUCUGCG